AGCAGUGUGGCUCAGUGGCGAGAGCCCGUGCUUGGGAGUCAGAGGUCAUGGGUUCGAAUCCCGGCUCUGCCA
rfam:Ornithorhynchus anatinus chromosome 2, whole genome shotgun sequence.